rnacentral:rRNA from 1 species
GGAAGAGAUAACCGCUGAAAGCAUCUAAGCGGGAAACUCGCCUUAAGAUGAGAUAUCCCUGGGGACUAGAUCCCCUUGAAGGGUCGUUCGAGACCAGGACGUUGAUAGGUCAGGUGUGUAAGCGCAGUAAUGCGUUCAGCUAACUGAUACUAAUUGCCCGUAAGGCUUGAUCCUAUAACA